rnacentral:rRNA from 1 species
AGAUUGAACGCUGGCGGCAUGCCUAACACAUGCAAGUCGAACGGGAGUAGCAAUACUCUAGUGGCGGACGGGUGAGGAAUACGUAGGAAUUUGCCCUUAAGUGGGGGAUAACCCGGGGAAACCCGGAUUAAUACCGCAUGACCUCGAAAGAGCAAAGUGGGGGAUCGCAAGACCUCACGCUUUUGGAGAAGCCUACGUCGGAUUAGCUAGUUGGUGAGGUAAUGGCUCACCAAGGCGACGAUCCGUAACUGAUCUGAGAGGAUGAUCAGUCACACCGGAACUGAGACACGGUCCGGACUCCUACGGGAGCAGCAGUGGGGAAUAUUGGACAAUGGGCGCAAG